rnacentral:rRNA from 1 species
ACGGCUCAGUAACACGUGGACAACCUACCCUACAGAAGGGGAUAACCCCGGGAAACUGGGGAUAAUACCCUAUAGACUAUGGAUGCUGGAAUGCUCUGUAGCCGAAAGGUCCGCCGCUGUAGGAUGGGUCUGCGGCCGAUUAGGUUGUUGUUGGGGUAACGGCCCAACAAGCCUGUAAUCGGUACGGGUUGUGGGAGCAAGAGCCCGGAGAUGGAUUCUGAGACACGAAUCCAGGCCCUACGGGGCGCAGCAGGCGCGAAAACUUUGCAAUGCGGGAAACCGUGACAAGGGAACUCUGAGUGCCCGUAAAAUCGGGCUGUCCAUCGGUUUAAAUAACCGGUGAAGAAAGGGCCGGGCAAGACCGGUGCCAGCCGCCGCGGUAAUACCGGCGGCUCGAGUGGUGGCCACUAUUACUGGGCUUAAAGCGUUCGUAGCUGGUUUGUUAAGUCUCUGGGGAAAUCUUCCGGCUUAACCGGAAGGCGUCUCAGGGAUACUGGCAGACUAGGGACCGGGAGAGGUGAGAGGUACUCCAGGGGUAGGAGUGAAAUCCUGUAAUCCUUGGGGGACCACCUGUGGCGAAGGCGUCUCACCAGAACGGCUCCGACAGUGAGGGACGAAAGCUGGGGGAGCAAACCGGAUUAGAUACCCGGGUAGUCCCAGCUGUAAACGAUGCGCGUUAGGUGUAUCGAUGACCACGAGUCAUCGAGGUGCCGAAGAGAAAUCGUGAAACGUGCCGCCUGGGAAGUACGGUCGCAAGGCUGAAACUUAAAGGAAUUGGCGGGGGAG